UGGGCUGUAGCUCAUUGGUAGAGUGCCCCCCUCAAAUGUGUGAGGCACUGGGUUCAAUAUUCAGCACCACAC
rnacentral:tRNA from 1 species